AGUUGCUCAUUGGUGAGAGCAAGAGCAGUUCUGGUGGAAAGGACAGAAGUCAGAUUUCUGUGGGUCAAAGAACAAAUGGGAGGUGGAGCUGCAAAAUAUGUGAAGCAAAAACUGCAAAAUAUGUGAAGCAAAAAUUGAUAGGACUGAAAGGAGGAACAGACAAACCCACAGUCAUGGUUGAAAACUUUGAUACUCCUUUCUCAACCAUUAGCAGAAUACCCAGACAGAAAUCAGCAAGGACAUGGAAAACUCAACACUGCUGAGCACCAGGAUGGAAUCAACAUUUAUGGAACGCUUCACCCAAUAAUAGCAGUGUCCAUAGAAUAUAUGUGA
rnacentral:lncRNA from 1 species